rnacentral:misc_RNA from 1 species
CCGAGUUUACAACUCCCAAACCCCUGUGAACAUACCUACUUGUUGCCUCGGCGGAUCAGCCCGCGCCCGUAAAACGGGACGGCCCGCCAGAGGAACCCCUAAACUCUGUUUCUAUAGUGGAACUUCUGAGUAAAAAACCAUAAUAAAUCA